UACGAAGGGGGCUAGCGUUGCUCGGAAUUACUGGGCGUAAAGGGCGCGUAGGCGGCCCGCUAAGUCGAACGUGAAAUCCCCAGGCUCAACCUGGGAACUGCGUCCGAUACUGGCAGGCUUGAAUCCGGGAGAGGGAUGUGGAAUUCCCGGUGUAGCGGUGAAAUGUGUAGAGAUCGGGAGGAACACCGGUGGCGAAGGCGGCUC
rnacentral:rRNA from 1 species